rnacentral:rRNA from 1 species
AGAGCUAUCCGGCGUCUAUACUGCAGUCGUACGCUUCUUUUUCCACCGGGAGCUUGCUCCACCGGAAAAAGAAGAGUGGCGAACGGGUGAGUAACACGUGGGUAACCUGCCCAUCAGAAGGGGAUAACACUUGGAAACAGGUGCUAAUACCGUAUAACAAUCGAAACCGCAUGGUUUUGAUUUGAAAGGCGCUUUCGGGUGUCGCUGAUGGAUGGACCCGCGGUGCAUUAGCUAGUUGGUGAGGUAACGGCUCACCAAGGCCACGAUGCAUAGCCGACCUGAGAGGGUGAUCGGCCACAUUGGGACUGAGACACGGCCCAAACUCCUACGGGAGGCAGCAGUAGGGAAUCUUCGGCAAUGGACGAAAGUCUGACCGAGCAACGCCGCGUGAGUGAAGAAGGUUUUCGGAUCGUAAAACUCUGUUGUUAGAGAAGAACAAGGAUGAGAGUAACUGUUCAUCCCUUGACGGUAUCUAACCAGAAAGCCACGGCUAACUACGUGCCAGCAGCCGCGGUAAUACGUAGGUGGCAAGCGUUGUCCGGAUUUAUUGGGCGUAAAGCGAGCGCAGGCGGUUUCUUAAGUCUGAUGUGAAAGCCCCCGGCUCAACCGGGGAGGGUCAUUGGAAACUGGGAGACUUGAGUGCAGAAGAGGAGAGUGGAAUUCCAUGUGUAGCGGUGAAAUGCGUAGAUAUAUGGAGGAACACCAGUGGCGAAGGCGGCUCUCUGGUCUGUAACUGACGCUGAGGCUCGAAAGCGUGGGGAGCAAACAGGAUUAGAUACCCUGGUAGUCCACGCCGUAAACGAUGAGUGCUAAGUGUUGGAGGGUUUCCGCCCUUCAGUGCUGCAGCUAACGCAUUAAGCACUCCGCCUGGGGAGUACGACCGCAAGGGUUGAAACUCAAAGGAAUUGACGGGGGCCCGCACAAGCGGUGGGAGCAAUGUGGUUUAAUUCGAAGCAACGCGAAGAACCCUUACCAGGGUCUUGACAUCCCUUUUGACCACCUCUAGAGAUAGAGCUUUCCCCUUCGGGGGCAAAGUGACAGGUGUGCAUGGGUUGUCGUCAGCUCGUGUCGUGAAGAUGUUGGGCUUAAGUUCCGCAACCGAGCCGCAACCCUUAUGUAGUUGCAUCAUUCAGUUGGGCACUCUAGCCAGACUGCCGGUUGACAAUCCGUAGCAGGUGGGAUUGAACGGUCAAUUCAUCCAUGUGCCCCCUUUAUGUGUGUGAC